GCGUCCGUUUCGUUUACGGCGCGCUCUCCUCGCUCGGAUCGGAGCGAGGGGGGCGCGCGCGCGUCGAGGCGUCGUCCGGGGCCGGGCCACGGGCGUCCCUUCAAGUGCGAA
rnacentral:misc_RNA from 1 species